GAAGGAAGUUUGCCUCUCGCGAUGAACGUUAGAGAAUCGCAGUUGCCGAUGUACAAACUUUCGAGUUCUGCGUUGUUGCCCAUCAUUUCCUCAGGUAAGGAUUUUAUUGCUUUGCUUUUUUCAAUCUUAAGAGACCGCAAAAUAUUGGGAUGAAAUUUUAACUCUGGAAAUGAGACAAGACUGGUGCAAUUUUCUUCAAUAGAUACCUCUUCAGGGUGGGUUAAGACAUGUAACCCUUCUACUGGCUUCUUAUAUCUGAAAUGCAGAAGCAUCCACCAUGAAUUGAUUUCUAUGAAAUCACUAGUCACCAGAGAUUUUACUACCUCAAAUCCUCCCUUUAACUGUUUUCCAAACUCGAAAAUAUUUGAAAUUGUUACAGAGUCAGCUGGACCAUCACUGUAAACCCCUCUGCAUCCAUAUAUUUCUAAUGAAUUACUGGAAAUAGUCAUACACUGAUACGGGCUUGCCAAUUGAAUUGGAUGCAAAGGACAAUUUGCCAAGAGAGGAUGAAGAAGCCAAAACCGUUACUAAGGAACCUAAUAAUGAAUUCGCAGAAGCAAAACAGCAGCUCAACUGUAGACCCGAGAGAGCCAAGAAACAGCCCAGCUGGAUGAAGGACUAUGCCACGUGAACCAAGACAGCAAGGGUGGAUGGAUAAUUUCUCUUAACAAUUAUCUAAAUUCUGUUAUUAUAAUUUAGCUACUUUACAAUUGCCAGCUCAUAUUUGUCUUUUAGCCUUAGAAUACUCUAGAAGAGUCACGAGAUAUAUAUGUAAAAG
rnacentral:lncRNA from 1 species